CUCAGCGAUGAGGCCACCGCUGGCUCUCAGCCUGGAGCUCCUGGCCUGGGGCAGGGAGAGAGAAGGGGCCUAAGAGUGGCUGGCACUUACUGAGCAUGUCUUAUGCCCCAGGCCAAGCCUGUCCGUGAUCCGGUUCAUCUAUUCUUCACAACAACCUAUGCAGUAGGUCCUUUGUGAAACCACUUGCAGGGUCCUGCUCCCAGCUGUGCAAGCUGCAAGGAAGAACGAGCCCCCUCCUCCAAGGCCUCGACGGUCCACUCAGUCACCCACUUAAGAAUUCACCAAAUAAGUAAUGACUAAGUCUGACUGGGAGAAAAUGAAAGCUCUCUUGGAGGGGAAAACAAGUUACUCAUGCAACCAAGAGCAUAUCCUUGGCACCCUCCAUGAGUGGAGCCACGGCAGGAGGGGCAGACAGGAACAAACGGUGGCCAUGAAUCAUGCUGUGUGCGAGCUCCUUUGUUUCUAAGGCAUGUGGUUUCCAGAGAAACCAGGGAACACUGCCUUCAGAAACAAAGUCUCACUUUGCCACCCGGGCUAGUCUUGAACUCCUGGUCUCAAGUGAUCCUCCUGCCUCCACCUCUGAAAGUGCUGGGAUUGCAGGUGUAAUUAAGCACUGUGCCUGGCCUGAAAGUCAUUAUACCACUCAUUUUUAUUAAAAAAAG
rnacentral:lncRNA from 10 species